AUACGUAGGGAGCGAGCGUUGUCCGGAAUUACUGGGCGUAAAGGGCGCGUAGGCGGCGCUUCAAGUCGUCUGUCAAAUGGGAGGGCUUAACCCUUUUUCGCAGACGAAACUGGAGAGCUUGAGAAGCAGAGAGGCAAACAGAAUUCCUGGUGUAGCGGUGAAAUGCGUAGAUAUCAGGAAGAAUACCAGUGGCGAAGGCGGUUUGCUGGCUGCAUACUGACGCUGAAGCGCGAAAGCCAGGGGAGCAAACGGGAUUAGAUACCCCGGUAGUCCUGGCAGUAAACGAUGUAUGCUGGGUGUGAGACUAGCGAUAGUUUCGUGCCGAAGUUAGCGCGAUAAGCAUACCGCCUGGGGAGUACGGUCGCAAGAUUGAAACUCAAAGGAAUUGGCGGGG
rnacentral:rRNA from 1 species